UAAAAGCAGUUUCCCAAAAUUCAUAUUGUUGGGUUUAUCCAAUUUAAAAAGAAUGUUUCAAGUGAGAUAAAAUUAAAUUUAAAAUUUAAUGUAGUAAGGGGUGGUGUAGCCGUCACGUGUCUGCCUGUUCCCGGUGCUGAUGUGCUGACAUGCUGAUGCUGUCGCUGCAGUGGAACGGUCGAUACAGGCGGGCACGGUGACAUUCGGUUUUAAAGUGUAGUGUCUUUUUUAUAAUACGACGCGGUUUAAAUCAAAUCGAAAAAGUUUAAAGAAAAGUGUGCGUAAAAUCAGUUUCACAAAAUUCACAUUGACUUUUGAAUAAUUGGACGUAAUCCAGUUUUAAAAAGUUAACGUUGAAACACAAAGUAAAGGUGUCACGUGUCUGCCUGAUCCCGGUGCUGAUGUGCUGACAUGCUGAUGCUGUCGCUGCAGUGGAACGGUCGAUACAGGCGGGCACGGUGACAUUCGGUUUUAAAGUAAAAAAAAUAUGGUUUAAAAAGUUAAAAGUGUAUUACUACUAAACGUCGGAAACAACCGAGCGCUUUAUUUUAUAUGUCCCCUAUAUUUAUGUACCUCGUAAAUUCUUUAGGUAUCAUUGUGUGGGUGUUGUUGAUUUCGUUUCUCGUUGGUCUGUUGUUAUGGUUCGUCUAUAUUCCUUGUGUUGUUCGCUCUUUCACUUUGUACUCGCUUUGUGUCCUCUGUUUGAUUUUGUCGUUGUGUUUUGCAGUUCGUUUGUGUAUGGUAUCUUUGCGUGUUCUCUUGCUCGGCUGUUAAGGAUCGUUAUUCGGUUAGGGUUGUGGCGUCUCACGGGUGAUGUUUGUUGUAAUUCGAUCUUUGGGUUCGUAAUUAAUUAUGAUUUUUCAGCUCUUUUCUUGUAUGACUUUACAGGUAUUGUCGUUGCUUGGUCGUUUGUGCUCUCGAUGUUGUUUCGUUUCGAUGCGUUUUUGGUACUUCUAAAUUUGUUUUUAAAGUGUCUGUUUCUGUUUUUUUUUGUCCAUAUUUAUAGUUUACUCGAUAUUUAUUCAUAUAAUUCGUACUGCUUAUUUAUUUGCGCUAUUGUGUGUUUGCGAAUUUUUGCGUGUUGCUUUUCUUCUUGUGUAUUUUGCUUUGCUGUUUGUUGGUGAUGGCCUUUUCCGGUUGGUUAUAGUCCGAUUGUACGUACGUACGGUGGUUGUGGUUAUUGUACUGAGUGUACUACGGGUUUUGUAUAGGCGUCAAGAGGUAUAGGACUUUUAUUUUUUAAUAAUAUAUACACAAAAUUAAUAA